rnacentral:lncRNA from 1 species
GCUGCAACGUUUUUUUUUUUUCAGAGGGAGAGCUUUGAACAAUGUUUGAGUUAUUGGGUAUUGGUUGAAUGAGAGAAGCAUUUAUCUUUCUUUUUUUGAGUUUUUUUUUUGGAAUGCUUGAAGUGGUAAUAUAUGGAAAGGAAAUAGUGAGAUGGAGCUGGGAGAAAGCAAUGGUGUCACGGUCUUGCAGUAGCACCGAAGUGAGGCACAUUUUCUUUUUUUCUUUUGCUGGAAUAUGUACACGGCACUCAUUUUGCGUUGGAAAGAAGCAAGUUUUCUUUUAUUUCUUUAGAAUGGACGGUGA